rnacentral:rRNA from 1 species
CCUACGGGAGGCAGCAGUGGGGAAUAUUGGACAAUGGGCGCAAGCCUGAUCCAGCCAUGCCGCGUGAGUGAUGAAGGCCUUAGGGUUGUAAAGCUCUUUCGCCAGGGAAGAUAAUGACUGUACCUGGAGAAUAAGCCCCGGCUAACUUCGUGCCAGCAGCCGCGGUAAUACGAAGGGGGCUAGCGUUGUUCGGAAUCACUGGGCGUAAAGCGCACGUAGGCGGACUUUUAAGUCAGGGGUGAAAGCCUGAGGCUCAACCUCAGAACUGCCCUUGAUACUGGGAGUCUUGAGUAUGGUAGAGGUUGGUGGAACAGCAAGUGUAGAGGUGAAAUUCGUAGAUAUUUGCUAGAACACCAGUGGCGAAGGCGGCCAACUGGACCAUAACUGACGCUGAGGUGCGAAAGCGUGGGGAGCAAACAGGAUUAGAUACCCUGGUAGUCCACGCCGUAAACGAUGGAUGCUAGCCGUUAGCCAGCUUGCUGGGUAGUGGCGCAGGUAACCCUUUAAGCAUCCCGCCUGGGGAGUACGGUCGCAAGAUUAAAACUCAAAUGAAUUGACGG